CGGCCCCCUGGACGAGACUGACGCUCAGGUGCGAAAGCGUGAGGAGCAAACAGGAUUAGAUACCUGGUAGUCACGCUGUAAACGAUGUCGAUUUGGAGGUUGUGCCCCUGAGGCGUGGCUUCCGGAGCUAACGCGUUAAAUCGACCGCUGGGGAGUACGGCCGCAAGGUUAAAACUCAAAUGAAUUGACGGGGGCCCGCACAAGCGGUGGAGCAUGUGGUUUAAUUCGAUGCAACGCGAAGAACCUUACCUACUCUUGACAUCCAGAGAACUUAGCAGAGAUGCUUUGGUGCCUUCGGGAACUCUGAGACAGGUGCUGCAUGGCUGUCGUCAGCUCGUGUUGUGAAAUGUUGGGUUAAGUCCCGCAACGAGCGCAACCCUUAUCCUUUGUUGCCAGCGGUUCGGCCGGGAACUCAAAGGAGACUGCCAGUGAUAAACUGGAGGAAGGUGGGGAUGACGUCAAGUCAUCAUGGCCCUUACGAGUAGGGCUACACACGUGCUACAAUGGCGUAUACAAAGAGAAGCGACCUCGCGAGAGCAAGCGGACCUCAUAAAGUACGUCGUAGUCCGGAUUGGAGUCUGCAACUCGACUCCAUGAAGUCGGAAUCGCUAGUAAUCGUAGAUCAGAAUGCUACGGUGAAUACGUUCCCGGGCCUUGUACACACCGCCCGUCACACCAUGGGAGUGGGUUGCAAAAGAAGUAGGUAGCUUAACCUUCGGGAGGGCGCUUACCACUUUGUGAUUCAUGACUGGGGUGAAGUCGUAACAAGGUAACCA
rnacentral:rRNA from 1 species